GCCGCUGCUGGCGGCUUGUAAAUAUCCGAGUUUGGGCCGCGAUCACCUCGGGGCCRCGGUGGCAGAGCGGGAAGGUGACCCAAAGCUGUGGGGAGCGGUUCGGCCGAGCGCCGGGGCAGCAGAGGAAUGAUUUUCAAAAGGAAUCCAUGCAGUGAAUGUGAUGAACCAUYGAGCUGCCCGAUGCUACUACCCCAACUCUGUCCUUCAUCAGAUUAAGUUCUCUUCUUACUUCACUGAGCAGCAGCAGAAAGAAGGAAAACCUUUUUAGCCACCUGUCCCCAGCUGAGGAACUUUUUCUCCACUUCAUACAGAGUGCUUCAUUCUGUCUCCUUGCAGAAAAAUAAUGGCUGUUAGGUGACAGGUCUAACAGAAGACCACCACCCCAACAUAUG